UACGUAGGGUCCAAGCGUUAUCCGGAAUCACUGGGCGUAAAGCGUGCGUAGGUGGAUAGUUAAGUGCAACAUUAAAUCCCGUGGCUCAACCAUGUGGCUGUGUUGCAUACUGGCUGUCUAGAGGACAUGAGAGGCAAGUGGAAUUACUGGUGUAGCAGUGAAAUGCCGCAGAUAUCAGGAGGAACACCGGUGGCGAAGGCGGGGUCUCUGGGCAGUAACAGACGCUGGAGGAGCGAAAGCGUGGGAGCGAACAGG
rnacentral:rRNA from 1 species